AACGAACGCUGGCGGCAGGCUUAACACAUGCAAGUCGAACGCCCUGUUUACAGGGAGUGGCAAACGGGUGAGUAACACGUGGGAAUAUACCUUUUGGUCUGGGACAACAGUUGGAAACGACUGCUAAUACCGGAUGUGCUCUACGGAGGAAAGAUUUAUCGCCAAAGAUUAGCCCGCGCUAGAUUAGUUUGUUGGUGAGGUAAUGGCUCACCAAGACUACGAUCUAUAGCUGGUCUGAGAGGAUGAUCAGCCACACUGGGACUGAGAUACGGCCCAG
rnacentral:rRNA from 1 species